rnacentral:rRNA from 1 species
GAUGAACGCUGGCGGCGUGCCUAACACAUGCAAGUCGAGCGGAGAUAUUGGAAGCAGUAAUGCGGAAGAUAUUUUAGCGGCGGACGGGUGAGUAACACGUGAGCAAUCUGCCUCUGACUGGGGGAAUAACAUUGUGAAAACAAUGCUAAUACCGCAUAACGUCCGACCGGGGCAUCCCGGACGGACCAAAGGAGUAAUCCGGUCAUAGAUGAGCUCGCGUCCGAUUAGUUAGUUGGUGAGGUAAUGGCUCACCAAGACCGCGAUCGGUAGCCGGACUGAGAGGUUGAACGGCCACAUUGGGACUGAGACACGGCCCAGACACCUACGGGAGGCAG